GGAGUCGCCCCCUGCUGGUCACUACAGAGAAGUAGAGUCAUUUCCUCAUAGACGUCUAUGGGAGCAGAGGAGUCGCCCCCUGCUGGUCACUACAGAGAAGUAGAGUCAUUUCCUCAUAGACGUCUAUGGGAGCAGAGGAGUCGCCCCCUGCUGGUCGGAAGGAAGAACACAAGUUCAGCUCGUCAGGUGGAAGUCAAUUAACUCCCAACUGCAAUUACAUGACAUUCCAUUAACUGCAGGUGAAUGUUUCCUGUUUAAUAACGCUGCCCUCAUCAGAACAAGUUGAGCAAAAAACUUUUAGAAGAAGCGUGACCUCUCCGGCCCAGAGGGGGGUUUUAAUUAUGAGGAAAGAAAUCUGGUAAUAUGGAGGGAUAUAACAUCUGACACCGUAAUUAAUCUUAUGAUUGUGCCGAUAAACCAAAAUAACCCCCCACCUCUGACCCGACUCCAGUCCUUCACAAGCCGUGACCUCAUCACAUUACACAUGCAUCAUUCUGGUCACCUUUUUGGACACCUGCACGAUCUUCACUCGGAAACGAAGGAGCCCUGGCGGCGGCUUUGCUGUUGUUGCAGCUGCGCUCUCUCCCCCGGUAGCUGGCCGCUCAAACCAUUUUACAUUUAAAUUUGUUGGAUAAUAAAUUAUUCAGCAAUAUAAUUCCGAAGAAAUAUUUCUGAGAAAAAGCAACCCACCUGCGUAGCCAACGGUGUCUUUUUCCCUCCCUGUCUGGCAUUAAAUUACACCCACAACAACAUUCUCAUUAAUCUUCAUGCGUUCCAAAGGGCCUCGGGGAGCAUUACUCACUUUUAAAAAUAGAUUCCGGUUCCAUGACAAUGAUCAGACAAUCGUGGGAGUCCGUGAGUUUAUUUCUGGGGACUUUUCCUCUGUGGGAUUCUGGCAGGCAGAAGUUUGCUCAGAUCACGAUGUCUGUUGCCUUUUAUGUGCCGAGUGGAUGUCGGCAAAGAGCUUCAGAGAAAUCUGAAAUUGCGUAUUGAAUUGAGGAAGCAAACCCUCAAAGGCGGAACCCUGGCAGAGCGCCCUCUCAUGCUGCCAACACCCCGACAAUGGUAAUUGCUUGUCAUAUUUAGGGAAAUUAUGGAGGAAACACCGAUGCCACACUGAAAUCAAUUUUUUGUUUUAAAUUCAAAGCCCAUUUGAUUCAUUGUAUUAUUACGCGGUCCUGGCAGGGAGCACCGCCUCCACGGCUCACUGACUCACUGCCUUUAACGUCGGAUCCCGUUGUUUCAUCCUCUCCGUCUGAGUAUCCGACAUUGGUUCUUCUGGCAGAGACAGCGCUUCGUAAUACGGAGAGCGACGUAGCAUCUAAAGGAGUCCGGGGCUCUGGGCCUCGCCACAUGUAGGAUGUGUAAUAUGUGACGGCAUCAUUCCGUGAAGAGAUCUUCUCAUACACAUUGUCAUUACAUUAUGAUAAUGAAAAGGUACCGUUGUCCGUAAAACACGAGAGACUUGAGAACCCUAAAAACACUGUGAGGUACGCGGCGUGUUUUAGGGUUUACUGUCGUAGAAACGUGACCUGACAGUUCAGAAUAUUUCCACUUCCCUGUGGGAAUGCAGACACACCUCGUCCUCUGCAAAAAUCACAACAACUGUGUGCGUGUGUGUGUGUGUGUGUGUGUGUGUGUGUGUGUGUGUGUGUGUGGAAGAAAAGCGGCAGGGAAAGAAAGAACUGAGCGCAGAGGCGAAUAAUCUGAAUUCAAAAGCAAUCAUUUGUUCUCAGCUCAUGAAGCCGUCUUGGGUGGAAGGGUGGAGGUAAAGAAUGGAGGUAAAGGGUGGAGGUAAGGGGUGGAUGUAAAGGAUGGAGGUUAAAGAUGGAGGUAAAGGGUGGCUGUUGAAGAUGUAGUUAAAGGGUGGAUGUAAAGGAUGGAGGUAAACGGUGGAUGUAAAGAGUGUAGGAAAGGGGUGGAUGUAAAGGAUGUAGGUAAAGGAUGGAUGUUAAAGAUGGAGGUAGAGGGUGGAUGUAAAGGAUGGAGGUAAUGGGUGGUGGUUAACGAUGGAGGUAAAGGAUGGAUGUAACAGGUGGAGGUUAAAGAUGGAGGUAAAGGGUGGAGUUAAAGAUGGAGGUAACGGGUGGAUCUGAGGGUCUCACAGGGUCAUCUGCUCCCAUGUGGACCUCCAGUUGUUACGUGAAGAAUAAACUGCGUUACAAUCACAGUAAUUAGCUGUGAUUUAACCACCCCGUUGACGUAGAAAAAGACACCACCUUCAGAUGGAAAAGUGGGUCCACACUUUGUGUGAAUAAUCGACCUGUGCAUCCGAUUCAGAAAGUCAUUUAUGCGCCUGUGAUCAUCACGCGGAUCAAAACAAAGUUCUCAUUCUGUAAGCUCCUCUAUAAAAAGGAGGGUUGGUUUUUGGCGCCGGCCGUUUCAUUUUUACAAUUUUGAUGAAGUUGUCGAUGAACUUAGCGCUCUGCAGCCUUUAUCGCUCUGCGGCUUCAUGAAAUGACGUUUCAAAGAUUUUUACGACUCAACUGAGAUCGUGAAUUACACCUCGGUGAGCGUUGGUUCUUCUGCACGUUCUAAUUACGCUACGAGACGAGAGACAAAGUUCUCAUUUAGACCCGCGAGUGUUAUGAUGGUUUCUGGGGUUUCUUUUGAUUUACGUCGCUUCUGCAAGUGAGAACUCCACGACUGAAGUAAAGUAAAUGUCAGUGUUUUUCUCAACCUUCACUGCAGGUGGAGGGCAGAACUUCCACAUGCAUAAUACAGCAUCCGCCUCAAACACCAUCACUUCUAGGACUCUGUGACGGUGUUUCUCCCCUUAAAGCGGCUGCACACCGAGUCAAAAUGAUCGAGUGCCAUCUUGCUUUUCGGGCAGUAGUUUAGUCAACGUCCUUUCCCGGUGUUGCGCAACACCCACUGGCGUCCAUGUUGCCGUUGCUUCAGUCGUCUUCUCGCGACUCAACCACUUAAAGAUCGAGCAUGUCGUGUUUUCCAGAUUGUGCUCUGUUUGCAAAUUAAAUCUGGGACCAAUCGUUCUUAUUUUCCAGUAAGAUGUUGUUACACAAUAUAAUAUUAUUUGGUAUUGAUUUGAGCUUCGUCCCCUUUUCUUCCUUCCAGCUCCUCAGUCGUUCGAGCUCAUUAAAGUCGCUCUCUUGUCAACUUCGUCCCCUCUAAUUCUCACCCAAUUACAACCCAAAUGAACCAGAGGACUGUUUAACCGGCUCUGCCUCUUCCCGUAGCUGAAUGUGUGACGGUAACGAACCCUGAGGUUCAGAAACGAAUCGCUCAGUGCCGAAUUAGUCCCCCUUCUACAUGGGUAACAUUCAAUGAUUCCACGUGGACCCCCCAGCGAUAACGUGAUCGCUGACAGCGGAUGGACCCGAUGGUGGCACCCAGCCGGGGAUGGAGAGGAUUCUGCCUGAGCCGACUUCUACACCUUCACGCGCAGCGUUCUAUAACUGGGUCGGUUUGAUUAAUGUCAUUGUCUCAGCCUGAGGAGCAAAGGCGCUAUAAAAGAGCUGGGCGAUUAUGAGGGAGGGGGAGAUAUGGACCAAACCGCCAGGAGAAAAAGCAAAGGGUGAACUAGAGCGAAGGAGCGGUUGGAAUGUGAGAGGAGCAGCAGGAAGCAACAGACAGAAGAUAAUUAGCCUCCAGAGGGAAGGAAAGCUCACGUAUUACAGCGGCCGUCCUCGACUCAUGCAGGGAGACACGUCACGGGGGGGGG
ensembl:lncRNA